UACAGAGACUGCAAGCGUUAUUCGGAUUCACUGGGCGUAAAGGGUGCGCAGGCGGCGUAAGUGUGUCAGAUGUGGAAAUCCCGAGGCUUAACCUCGGAACUGCGUCGUGAAACUACUUGGCUAGAGUACUGGAGAGGUAACGGAAUUCAGCGGUGUAGCAGUGAAAUGCGUAGAUAUCGUGAGGAACACCAGAGGCGAAGGCGGUUACCUGGACAGUACUGACGCUCAGGCACGAAAGCGUGGGAGCAAAGG
rnacentral:rRNA from 1 species